GGCGUGCUUAACACAUGCAAGUCGAACGGUGAACACGGAGCUUGCUCUGUGGGAUCAGUGGCGAACGGGUGAGUAACACGUGAGCAACCUGCCCCUGACUCUGGGAUAAGCGCUGGAAACGGCGUCUAAUACUGGAUAUGUGACGCGACCGCAUGGUCUGUGUCUGGAAAGAAUUUCGGUUGGGGAUGGGCUCGCGGCCUAUCAGCUUGUUGGUGAGGUAAUGGCUCACCAAGGCGUCGACGGGUAGCCGGCCUGAGAGGGUGACCGGCCACACUGGGACUGAGACACGGCCCAGACUCCUACGGGAGGCAGCAGUGGGGAAUAUUGCACAAUGGGCGCAAGCCUGAUGCAGCAACGCCGCGUGAGGGACGACGGCCUUCGGGUUGUAAACCUCUUUUAGCAGGGAAGAAGCGAAAGUGACGGUACCUGCAGAAAAAGCGCCGGCUAACUACGUGCCAGCAGCCGCGGUAAUACGUAGGGCGCAAGCGUUAUCCGGAAUUAUUGGGCGUAAAGAGCUCGUAGGCGGUUUGUCGCGUCUGCUGUGAAAUCCCGAGGCUCAACCUCGGGCCUGCAGUGGGUACGGGCAGACUAGAGUGCGGUAGGGGAGAUUGGAAUUCCUGGUGUAGCGGUGGAAUGCGCAGAUAUCAGGAGGAACACCGAUGGCGAAGGCAGAUCCCUGGGCCGUAACUGACGCUGAGGAGCGAAAGGGUGGGGAGCAAACAGGCUUAGAUACCCUGGUAGUCCACCCCGUAAACGUUGGGAACUAGUUGUGGGGUCCAUUCCACGGAUUCCGUGACGCAGCUAACGCAUUAAGUUCCCCGCCUGGGGAGUACGGCCGCAAGGCUAAAACUCAAAGGAAUUGACGGGGACCCGCACAAGCGGCGGAGCAUGCGGAUUAAUUCGAUGCAACGCGAAGAACCUUACCAAGGCUUGACAUAUACGAGAACGGGCCAGAAAUGGUCAACUCUUUGGACACUCGUAAACAGGUGGUGCAUGGUUGUCGUCAGCUCGUGUCGUGAGAUGUUGGGUUAAGUCCCGCAACGAGCGCAACCCUCGUUCUAUGUUGCCAGCACGUAAUGGUGGGAACUCAUGGGAUACUGCCGGGGUCAACUCGGAGGAAGGUGGGGAUGACGUCAAAUCAUCAUGCCCCUUAUGUCUUGGGCUUCACGCAUGCUACAAUGGCCGGUACAAAGGGCUGCAAUACCGCGAGGUGGAGCGAAUCCCAAAAAGCCGGUCCCAGUUCGGAUUGAGGUCUGCAACUCGACCUCAUGAAGUCGGAGUCGCUAGUAAUCGCAGAUCAGCAACGCUGCGGUGAAUACGUU
rnacentral:rRNA from 1 species